rnacentral:misc_RNA from 1 species
UUUCCGUAGGUGAACCUGCGGAAGGAUCAUUAUCGUACAAAAUGUGAGGGGCAUGCGAGGGCUGUCGCUGACCCAAAAGUCUUGCACGCCCGCGUGUGUCCUCUUACAUAAUAAUCCAUCUCACCUUUUGUGCAUCACCGCGUGGGCACCCUUCGGGAUCAUCUCGGAGGGGGGCUCGCGUUUUGACACAAACCCCCCUUAUAAAAGUGUAGAAUGACCACAUUUAUGCAAUAAAUACAACUUUCAACAACGGAUCUCUUGGCUCUC